GUACUGUUGAAGAGUCCCAAACUAGGGCGAAACAGCUGUCCAGUAU
rnacentral:hammerhead_ribozyme from 1 species